rnacentral:tRNA from 1 species
GCGCUUUUAGCUCAGAUGGUAGAGCAGCUGACUCUUAAUCAGCGGGUCCUGGGUUCGAGUCCCCGAAGGCGCACCA